GACGAACGCUGGCGGCGUGCCUAAUACAUGCAAGUCGAACGCAGUGGGGACGGGUGAGUAACACGUGGGUAACCUCCCAUCACAGGGGAUAACACUUGGCAACAGGUGCUAAACCGAUACUGAUGGAUGGUCCCGCGUUGCAUUAGCUAGUUGGUGAGGUAACGGAGCACCAAGCCCACGAUGCAUAGCCGGCCGGGGAGGGUGAUCGGCCACACUGGGACUGAGACACGGCCCAGACUCCUACGGGAGGCAGCAGUAGGGAAUAUUUGGCAAUGGACGAAAGUCUGACCGAGCAACGCCGCGUGAGUGAAGAAGGUUUUCGGAUCGUAAAGCUCUGUUGUUAGAGAAGCGGUAUCUAACCAGAAAGCCACGGCUAACUACGUGCCAGCCGCCGCGGUAAUUC
rnacentral:rRNA from 1 species